rnacentral:lncRNA from 1 species
UUCCUUUGCUGACUCUUUUCAGACUCAGCCCACCUGCACCCAGGUGAAAUAAACAGCCAUGUAGCUCACACAACGCCUGUUUGGUGGUCUCUUCACACGGACGCACAUGAAAUUUGGUGCCCUGACUCGGAUCGGGGGACCUCCCUUGGGAGAUCAAUCCCCUGUCCUCCUGUUCUUUGCUCCCUGAGAAAGAUCCACCUAUGACUUCAGGUCCUCAGACUGACCAGCCCAAGGAACAUCUCACCAAUUUUAAAUCAGCGGCCAGGCGUUCCUCCAGAACCUCCUCCCACAGGAACUUGCUACACGUGCUGGAAAUCUGGCAACUGGACCAAGGAAUGCCCGCAGCCCGGGAUUCCUAAGCCGCAUCCCAUCUGUGUGGGACCCCACGGAAAAUCGGACUGUUCAACUCACCUGGCAGCCACUCCCAGAGCCCCUGGAACUCUGGCCCAAGGCUCUCUGACUCCUUCCCAGAUCUUCUCGGCCUAGCGGUUGAAGACUGACACUGCCCAAUCACCUCGGAAGCCCCCUAGACCAUCACGGACGCCGAGCUUCAGGUAACUCUCACAGUGGAAGUUUAUUGCUGUAGAAGCUCCUGUUCCAGCAGCCUGCCAUAUUGCUGAAGGUUUGUGAGACACAGCCUAGAAGUUUGUUAUCAAUCCUCAUUGGUUGAGGCUCCUCCUGCUGUAGUUGAAGACUGUCUACUGCUAAAAGGAGAGAAUAUACUAGAAAGAAAUAAAAUUACUUGAUGUAUUUAA